rnacentral:rRNA from 1 species
AGCGAACGCUGGCGGCAGGCCUAACACAUGCAAGUCGAACGAACUCUUCGGAGUUAGUGGCGGACGGGUGAGUAACACGUGGGGACGUGCCUUUAGGUUCGGAAUAACUCAGGGAAACUUGUGCUAAUACCGAAUGUGCCCUUCGGGGGAAAGAUUUAUCGCCUUUAGAGCGGCCCGCGUCUGAUUAGCUAGUUGGUGAGGUAAAGGCCCACCAAGGCGACGAUCAGUAGCUGGUCUGAGAGGAUGAUCAGCCACAUUGGGACUGAGACACGGCCCAAACUCCUACGGGAGGCAGCAGUGGGGAAUCUUGCGCAAUGGGCGAAAGCCUGACGCAGCCAUGCCGCGUGAAUGAUGAAGGUCUUAGGAUUGUAAAAUUCUUUCACCGGGGACGAUAAUGACGGUACCCGGAGAAGAAGCCCCGGCUAACUUCGUGCCAGCAGCCGCGGUAA